rnacentral:rRNA from 1 species
UACGAAGGGGGCUAGCGUUGUUCGGAAUUACUGGGCGUAAAGCGCACGUAGGCGGCUUUGCAAGUCGGAUGUGAAAUCCCUCGGCUUAACCAAGGAAGUGCAUCCGAAACUGCAGAGCUUGAGUACUUAAGAGGAUCGCGGAAUUCCCGGUGUAGAGGUGAAAUGCGUAGAUAUCUGGAGGAACACCGGUGGCGAAGGCGGCGUUCUGGACUGCAACUGACACUGAUAAACGAAAGCCAGGGUAGCAAACGGG